rnacentral:tRNA from 1 species
AGAAAAGUAAGCUAAGGUAAGCUAAUGGGUUCAUAUCCCAUAGAUAGAGUAUUCACUCUCUUCUCUA